CCUCAUAGCCCUCCUUGGGCGUUUCCUCCCUAGACUUGGGCCGUUGGCGUCGCAGCCGACGGCCCUUUUUUGUCCGCA
rnacentral:sRNA from 1 species